GGGAUAACUAUUGGAAACGAUAGCUAAUACCGCAUAACAAUGGAUGACACAUGUCAUUUAUUUGAAAGGGGCAAUUCGCUCCACUACAAGAUGGACCUGCGUUGUAUUAGCUAGUAGGUGAGGUAAUGGCUCACCUAGGCGACGAUACAUAGCCGAACCUGAGAGGGUGAUCGGCCACACUGGGACUGAGACACGGCCCAGACUCCUACGGGAGGCAGCAGUAGGGAAUCUUCGGCAAUGGGGGCAACCCUGACCGAGCAACGCCGCGUGAGUGAAGAAGGUUUUCGGAUCGUAAAGCUCUGUUGUAAGUCAAGAACGGGUGUGAGAGUGGAAAGUUCACACUGUGACGGUAGCUUACCAGAAAGGGACGGCUAACUACGUGCCAGCAGCCGCGGUAAUACGUAGGUCCCGAGCGUUGUCCGGAUUUAUUGGGCGUAAAGCGAGCGCAGGCGGUUUGAUAAGUCUGAAGUUAAAGGCUGUGGCUCAACCAUAGUUCGCUUUGGAAACUGUCAAACUUGAGUGCAGAAGGGGAGAGUGGAAUUCCAUGUGUAGCGGUGAAAUGCGUAGAUAUAUGGAGGAACACCGGUGGCGAAAGCGGCUCUCUGGUCUGUAACUGACGCUGAGGCUCGAAAGCGUGGGGAGCGAACAGGAUUAGAUACCCU
rnacentral:rRNA from 1 species